rnacentral:rRNA from 1 species
UACAGAGGGUGCGAGCGUUAAUCGGAAUUACUGGGCGUAAAGCGUGCGUAGACGGCUAUCUAAGUCGGGUGUGAAAGCCCCGGGCUCAACCUGGGAAUUGCAUUCGAGACUGAAUAGCUAGGGUACGGUAGAGGGAAGUGGAAUUUCCGGUGUAGCGGUGAAAUGCGUAGAUAUCGGAAGGAACAUCAGUGGCGAAAGCGGCUGUCUGGCCCAAUACUGACGCUCAUGUGCGAAAGCGUGGGGAGCAAACAGG